UGGGCCGUAGCCAAGCGGUAAGGCAACGGGUUUUGAUCCCGUCAUACCUAGGUCCGAAUCCUAGCGGCCCAA
rnacentral:tRNA from 2 species